AUUUCUAAAUCGCUGAAACCUUUUGGUACGGGGGAACCAUUUUUUCGGGUUAUUUAUAACCCAAGGGGUGAAUCCUAAUUAGGAAGGGCUACUCAAUGGCCCGAAUCCGACAGCUAACCUCGUAAGCGUUAUAUGAGAAGGAAG
rnacentral:sRNA from 2 species